UAAGGAAUCUUCCACAAUGGGCGAAAGCCUGAUGGAGCAAUACCGCGUGAAGGAUGAAGCUUUUCGGAGUGUAAACUUCUUUUUAAUGGGAAGAUUAUGACGGUACCAUUUGAAUAAGCAUCGGCUAACUACGUGCCAGCAGCCGCGGUAAUACGUAGGAUGCAAGCGUUAUCCGGAAUUAUUGGGCGUAAAGAGUGUGUAGGUGGCACGUUAAGUUGAAUGUUAAAUCUCAGGGCUCAACUCUGGGGCUGCAUUCAAUACUGGCGAGCUCGAGGUAUGGAGAGGUAAGCGGAAUUAGUAGUGUAGCGGUGAAAUGCGUAGAUAUUACUAAGAACACCAAUGGCGAAGGCAGCUUACUGGCCAUAUCCUGACACUGAGACACGAAAGCGUGGGGAGCGAACAGG
rnacentral:rRNA from 1 species